UUGGAGGGCAAGUCUGGUGCCAGCAGCCGCGGUAAUUCCAGCUCCAAUAGCGUAUAUUAAAGUUGUUGCAGUUAAAAAGCUCGUAGUUGAAUUUCGAGACCGGUUUACUGGUCGUGCUUUUGUACGUACUGGUAUUAUUGGUUUCUCCUUUCUGACGAAUCAUAAUGCCAUUAAUUUGGUGUUUUGGGGGAUCAGGACUGUUACUUUGAAAAAAUUAGAGUGUUUAAAGCAGGCUCACGCUUGAAUACAUUAGCAUGGAAUAACGAAAUAGGACGUUUGAUUUUAUUUUGUUGGUUUCUAGGAUCGACGUAAUGAUUAAUAGGGAUAGUUGGGGGCAUUAGUAUUCAAUUGUCAGAGGUGAAAUUCUUGGAUUUAUUGAAGACUAACUACUGCGAAAGCACUUGCCAAGGAUGUUUUCAUUAAUCAAGAACGAAAGUUAGGGGAUCGAAGACGAUCAGAUACCGUCGUAGUCUUAACCAUAAACUAUGCCGACUAGGGAUCGGAUGAUGUUAAUUUUUUAAUGACUCAUUCGGCGCCUUACGGGAAAC
rnacentral:rRNA from 1 species